GUGCCAUGACUGCUUCCAGCAUUCUUGAAAAACAAAAGAAAAAGGGUUUAAGCUUCUCAUAUUGUAAUGAAAAGAGGACACUUGCUGGGUUGGGGGUCUUUUAUUAGGAAGAAUUAUUGAGGUGAGAACUAAUUUCAGAUAAUGAGGGAAAUGAGGAGGCAGUUCAGUGUAGGUUAUUGAACUUGGAAUUGGGUUUAACGGUUUGUCGCCUGGUAUCAUACAGAACAAAGAAAAGUCAUGAAUCCUUUGAAAGCUUGGCAAUUGGAUUUA
rnacentral:lncRNA from 1 species